GCAUAUCAAUAAGCGGAGGAAAAGAAAAUAACAAUGAUUUCCCUAGUAACGGCGAGUGAAGAGGAAAGAGCUCAAAGUUGGAACCUGUUUGGCUUAGCUAAACCGGAUUGUAAACUGUAGAAGUGUUUUCCAGACACGCCUGGUAAAAAAGUCCUUUGGAACAGGGCAUCAUAGAGGGUGAGAAUCCCGUCUUUGGCCAGAGCUGUUGUCUUUUGUGAUACAUUUUCAAAGAGUCAGGUUGUUUGGGAAUGCAGCCUAAAUUGGGUGGUAAAUCUCACCUAAAGCUAAAUAUUUGCGAGAGACCGAUAGCGAACAAGUACCGUGAGGGAAAGAUGAAAAGAACUUUGAAAAGAGAGUUAAACAGUAUGUGAAAUUGUUAAAAGGGAACCGUUUGGAGCCAGACUGGCUUGACUGUAAUCAAUCUAGGCUUCGGCCUGGAUGCACUUGCGGUUUAUGCCUGCCAACGACAAUUUUUUUUGAGGGAAAAAACUAUUCGGAAUGUGGCCCUCCCUCGGGGGGGUGUUAUAGCCUUAUAGAAAAUACCUUGAAUUGGAUUGAGGAACGCAGUGAAUGCCUUUAGGCAAGAUUGCUGGGUGCUUUCGCUAAUAAAUGCUAGAAUUUCUGCUUCGGGUGGUGCUAGUGUUUAAAGGAGGAACUCGCCUAGUAUAUUUUUUAUUCGCUUAGGUUGUUGGCUUAAUGACUCUAAAUGACCCGUCUUGAAACACGGACCAAGGAGUCCACCAUUAGUGCGAGUAUUUGGGUGCCAAACCCAUAUGCGUAAGGAAACUGAUUGAUACGAAAUCUUUAAGAUGGCAGUAUCACCCGGCGAAGACGUUUUAUACUGAACCGACCGAGGUAAAGCACUAAUGAUGGGACCCGAAAGAUGGUGAACUAUGCCUGAAUAGGGUGAAGCCGGAGGAAACUCCGGUGGAGGCUCGUAGCGAUUCUGACGUGCAAAUCGAUCGUCAAAUUUGGGUAUAGGGGCGAAAGACUAAUCGAACCAUCUAGUAGCUGGUUCUGCG
rnacentral:rRNA from 1 species